AACGAACGCUGGCGGCAUGCCUAACACAUGCAAGUCGAACGAGACCUUCGGGUCUAGUGGCGCACGGGUGCGUAACGCGUGGGAACCUGCCCUUAGGUUCGGAAUAACUCCCCGAAAGGGGUGCUAAUACCGGAUAAUGUCUUCGGACCAAAGAUUUAUCGCCUUUGGAUGGGCCCGCGUUGGAUUAGCUAGUUGGUAGGGUAAAAGCCUACCAAGGCGACGAUCCAUAGCUGGUCGGAGAGGAUGAUCAGCCACACUGGGACUGAGACACGGCCCAGAAUCCUACGGAAGGGAGGAGUAGGGAAUAUUGGACGAUGGACGAAAGCCUGAUCCAGCAAUGCCGCGUGAGUGAUGAAGGCCUUAGGGUUGUAAAGCUCUUUUACCCGGGAUGAUAAUGACAGUACCGGGAGAAUAAGCACCGGCUAACUCCGUG
rnacentral:rRNA from 1 species